rnacentral:rRNA from 1 species
CAGUAGCCGCGGUAAUACGUAGGGUGCAAGCGUUAAUCGGAAUUACUGGGCGUAAAGCGUGCGCAGGCGGUUAUAUAAGACAGAUGUGAAAUCCCCGGGCUCAACCUGGGAACUGCAUUUGUGACUGUAUAGCUAGAGUACGGCAGAGGGGGGUGGAAUUCCGCGUGUAGCAGUGAAAUGCGUAGAUAUGCGGAGGAACACCGAUGGCGAAGGCAAUCCCCUGGGCCUGUACUGACGCUCAUGCACGAAAGCGUGGGGAGCAAACAGGAUUAGAUACCCCCGUAGUCCCUGUCUCUUAUAC